rnacentral:rRNA from 1 species
CCUACGGGAGGCAGCAGUGGGGAAUAUUGGACAAUGGGGGCAACCCUGAUCCAGCCAUGCCGCGUGUGUGAAGAAGGCCCUCGGGUUGUAAAGCACUUUCAGUGAGGAAGAACGCCUGGUGGUUAAUACCCAUCAGGAAAGACAUCACUCACAGAAGAAGCACCGGCUAACUCCGUGCCAGCAGCCGCGGUAAUACGGAGGGUGCGAGCGUUAAUCGGAAUUACUGGGCGUAAAGCGCGCGUAGGUGGCUUGAUAAGCCGGUUGUGAAAGUCCCGGGCUCAACCUGGGAACGGCAUCCGGAACUGUCAAGCUAGAGUGCAGGAGAGGAAGGUAGAAUUCCCGGUGUAGCGGUGAAAUGCGUAGAGAUCGGGAGGAAUACCAGUGGCGAAGGCGGCCUUCUGGACUGACACUGACACUGAGGUGCGAAAGCGUGGGUAGCAAACAGGAUUAGAUACCCUAGUAGUC